GCUCAUGGCUCAGGAUGAACGCUAGCUACAGGCUUAACACAUGCAAGUCGAGGGGGCAGCAUGGUCUUAGCUUGCUAAGGCCGAUGGCGACCGGCGCACGGGUGAGUAACGCGUAUCCAACCUGCCUUACACUCUUGGACAGCCUUCUGAAAGGGAGAUUAAUACAAGAUGUUAUCAUGAGUAAGCAUUUUCGCAUGAUUAAAGGUUUACCGGUGUAAGAUGGGGAUGCGUU
rnacentral:rRNA from 1 species